UGUGGCAGGUAGCGGAUGCUCAGUAAAGUGAAGCCUGCCCUUCCCGUAGCCUUUCUCUUCCUCCACUGGGUCUAGACUUCACAUUGUCCCAUGGUUCAAGAUCCUUGGUUCAUCCCGAGUCUUAUCAUCAUCCCAGAAGCUUGGAGGGAGCUCCUGGGGAAAUCCAGCUUCACGGUCCCACACUGAUCACUUCCCCUGGGCAUGGCCUGGUAAAUGCAGCUCAGAUCCGCUCCCCAGGCAAGUCAAGGAAGUUGCUGCCCAGAAACCAAGUGAGGACAUUUACAAGAACCGGCAGCAGCAGCAGCAGCAGCAGCAGCAGCAGCAGCAGCACAAGAAGAAGAAGAAGAAGAAGAAGAAGAAGAAGAAGAAGAAGAAGAAGAAGAAGAAGAAGAAGAAGAAAGAAGAAGAAGAAAGAAGAAGAAGAAGAAGAAGAAGAAGAAGAAGAAGAAGAAGAAGAAGAAGAAGAAGAAGAAACUGGAUUUGCUUUUUCACCAGAGGAUCCAGAUUUCCCUGUGGCCUCACAAACAAAAAAGAAGGAAGACGGAGCAGCACAGUCAUCCCUUUGUGAAAAAGGCAUUCAGAGACGGGGUUUCACCGUGUUAGCCAGGAUGGUCUCGAUCUGCUGACCUCGCGAUCCGCCCGCCUCGACCUCCCAAAGUGCUGGGAUUACAGGCGUGAGCCACCGCGCCCGGCCUCAGUUGGUUUUUCAAAAGUCAUGGCAAGUAAUUGUCAGAACAGUGAACUUCGGAGAUUCACCGGAGGGGCGAGGCCACAGCUCGACCGCGAGCACCUGAGCAUCCUGCACCGCCUGCGACGGCCGUCAGGGGGCGCGAUGCCGCCUCACAGAGCCUCAAGAGGCGCCCGGGUUCCGGCACAGACGCCCUGCGGCUCCAGGGGGCGGAGCCGAGCCGCCUCCUCAGGACCUACGCAGGAGACGCCUCCAUCCCUACAGGGACACCUGAGAGGACCCAGCCUCCUCCUCCUCAGGACCCACUCGGGAGACGCCGCUGGCUCUAUAGGAACACCUGGGGACCGUGGCCAGGGACGACCCAGCCUCCUUCUCCUCAGCUCCUCAGGAACGACUGGGGAAGCUGUGGCUUCAUGGUCCCCGAGGCUGCCCGAGGAAAGACAGAGUCUCAACCAGGCUGGAGUGCAGUGGCGUGAUCUCGGCUCACUGCAACCUCCGCCUCCCAGGUUCAAGCAAUUCUCCUGCCUCAGCCUCCUGAGUAGCUGGUAUUUCAGGACAGCCAGGAGGGGGCGCACAUCCGCCGAGAAACUGUGAGCAAGAGCGUCUGUGCUGAACCAUGGCGCCACCAGAGGGCGCGCGAUCCCGCGCCAACCAACUUCCCGCUGAGGUGCCAGAAGCAGCGAGGAGCUUCAACUUCCUCAGGGCAGCACGAGGGUCAUGUUAAUUUGGUGUUCUUCAUUGAUUCCCCAACAGUUAUUGCCGUACCAGAUUUGCAGUGUCGCACAAAAUACUCCGGUCUAUUGCACUGAAAGCAUGGACACUCUCCCAGGUUGUUGGAACGUAAUAAGAGUUAAUGUGUGGUCUCUGCUGCAGUGUCCUGAAACAGAGCGCUAAGCCUCGGGAAUGUACGAAGUAAUGUGUCUUUCGUAUGCUAAUGAAAUGAUUGAUGGCUGGGGGCACCUGGAUAGCCUCAGUGGGGCUGGCUGCCAAGGGAAGCAACCUUGUCAUUAGAGGAUUUGAAAUUUCUUCCCCCGUCCCGUCUCUGUGAAGGGGAGAGGUGCUGAUGGUUGAGUUGAUCACCUAUGGCCACAGACGUAACCAAUUUGCCUGUGUAAUAAAGGACAGGGUUGGGAGAGCAUCUGUGUUGCUCUCCCAACACAGGAGAUACUGGGAGAAUCAUGUCUGGUGAGGGCAUGGGAGGCCUGCAUUCCUUCCACAUACCUCACCUUGUGCAUCUCUUCGUCUGGCUUUUCAUUUGUAGCGUUUAAAAGAUCCUUGGUAAUAAGUCAGGAAUAGUAAGUACACUGCGUUCAUGGGUUGUGCAAUGUGAUGUAGCAAAUUGCUGAACCCAAUAAGGGUGUUGUGGGAGCCUCCAAUCUGUAGCAAAGUCAGACAGAAGGUAACCUGGGAACCUACUGUUUGUGGUUGGCACCUUAAGUGGUUACAGUCUUGUAACGGAGUACCCAUAUUUUCUUACAGAAGAAAUGAAUUAGUUUUACCAUUUUGCUGUUCCUGCACUUAGCUCUUUAGGAAUGCAAUUAUAAGCUUUACUGUCUCUCCACCAGACACUUCCUAUACUGCAAACUUUUCCAACUGUGUGAUAACUUAAAAGUUCCAGGGACCAAACCUUGAAACAAACUGGCACUUCCAUAUCUCUCCCCCACCAGGAGAUUGGCAGCAGACAACAGUCAAUUUACAACCUGGCUCUGCCCAUGGUGGUGCUAGCAAGAUCACCUAAUGGAGAAAACAUCAGAGCAUGUCCCAUAGACCCUGCACCUCCUCACCUCAUCCCCUGCAUGCCAUUCUGGCAAGUCCGAAAGCCCUGCUUUCUGCCCAGAAAGUGGAAGCGCUUCCCUUAAGGCAAGAGCCUGUAUGUUCCCUUCAGCUAAGCUCUGGCAUAAAGUCACUUUCUUUUUACCAUCCUUGUGUUUGUCAUUUAAAUUUGCAAGCAACAAGGGGCAUGACGUGUAUUCCUAGGACUGAGUCCUUAGCCUGUGGGGUCUGAUGCUUUCUCCAUUUACUGUCACAAUUGGGUUGCACUGUAGGACACCCAGCUGGUACCCAAGAUUUGGUCUGUGUGGGGAAAAAACCGAUGUAUCUGGUAACAGAAGUGUUCUGUGUUGAGUGUUGAAAGUAUACUAUAAGACAGUUGUUUUUCCUAUUAUAACAUUUUGUCUUUCAACUUUUUUCUUCAUGUCUUCUGAGACGUAAAAGUUGUAAAUUUUGAGGAAAUAAAUUGAUUUAUUUUUC